AGAUGAUGUAAUCAUGCGCCUUUGUGGCCAUACAGCAAGCAUUCAUUUUAGCCCAUGGUUCUGGAGGAUCAAGACCCAGCAGUCACUUGGUGGUGGCUGUCAUUCUGGGAGACUCCAGGAACAUCCUAGUACCCUGGUAACUUAAAUUCCAGCCAUCUCUCAAAGGUCCUGCCUAGAACACAACGGGGGUUAACCCCAGCAUGAACUUUGCAAGGCAGUCAUCUUGACACCCUGGCUGUGCUUUAAGAGCUGCACUGGGGUUGGGGACCCAGCUUCCUUCCAUCUGCUUCCUGUUGUCAUGGUUCCCAUUUACCAGUCUAGCUCAUCCUGCCAGGUCACUCCACCAGCUCCAUCCCGUUUAACAGGAAAAAGAAAGGGAGAGGAGGGCGGUCUAUCCGCCAUGUCUGCAUACACACUGCUGGCCAGAACAAAGCCACAUGGUGCAUCUGCUGUGAGGAGACUCAGGAAGGCAGCCCUGCUCUGAACAGUCACUUGACCCACUGCGUCUGAGGAGAAAGGAAGAGGCAAUGCCAGGGGAUACAACAGACUCUGCAUCAGCAGAAUUCCAAGCCAGGUCACCAAACAUUAGGGAGGUAAGGUGCGCAGCUGUGGCCAUGGCACGUCCUUCCAGUCCUCUUGAGGAUGAAACAUAGACCAGAAGGGAGGCAAGGGGUGAGCAUGGAGUUUAGACCGGACAGAAAAGUGGCUAAAAGGUCAUAGGAAGAUAGGCACUAGUGUGUCCAGCGGUCUGACUACAUAACCUCCAAACUCCAUACGUGAAGUCAUAACUCAGGGUACUCAGAAGGCAGUGAUCGGAGAUGAGCCCUUUCAUGGAGUGAUUAGGGCUACUGAUGCGGUGGAGACUAAUCCGUCUUUCUGGCAUCCUUGUAAGAAGAAAUUAAGACACAGAUAGGCACAGAGGUACAACCACACGAAGUCAAAGGAGUUGAAAGCUUCCAUAGCCAAGGAGACAGAACAGCAGAGCCAGCCAUGCAAUACCCUGACCCAGCCCUGCUCCCAGACUGAAGAGGAAAUGCCCAGGAGUAAACUCCCCAUGUACUUAGUGAUGCAGACACCUGCAGACUGGGAGUCUGCACUAAGUAUCUCGAAUACCCCAUAGUGUUCUACCCUACUGAUUGCUUCUGGCACACUGCUCUAAGGGACGGAGUACAGUGUGGGUGUGUGGACUAGCCUCUGCCAAUAAUUUGUGACCUAAAAUCCAGGGGAUUGAGGGAUGUAAGAGUCAGGCAGGGUGGGACCAGACAGGCCAGCACAGGACUGGGAAAGUUGGAAGAGAUGGGGCAGUGGUGGGCAGAAGCUGGGGUGGGGUGCCAAGUCACCCAGCGCCUGGGCUUUGAACAGCAAGUAUGGAUUGAAGAGAGGUCUCACAAGGCACUGACUUGAGGUUACAUGUGGGAGGCUCAGUCAAGCUGUUUUGUGGCCCUAGGGGCCAGGAGGGGACAAGGAUGUGGGCAGGUACUAGGCGAGUGUAGCAGUAAGCCACCACAGAUUCACCACCACCACCAAGAGGGCUCUAGAGGCCAACAGAGCUCUCGAAGCAGCCACCUCAAGACUCAUUUCCCUUAGGGCGAGAGCCCAGAGAUUACCCUAAGAAUGAAAUCCUGGAAGGAUGGAAUUUCAGAGUUCCCUGGGCAUUGAGAACCUCAGUCCUCAUCAUAAUGGGCUGAAAUUCCACAGACAAUCUCAGCCCGAGCAGGCAACUGCACAGGAAGGGUGAGAGGCACACAGAACCCCCGCAAGGGAGGGCCUUUGGGCCACCAUGAAGAUACACAGUGAAGCAGCUGUGGAGGCACAGAUACAGGAGCUCAGAACCAUCACUCGGCUUCAGGAACAAUGCCGGGGGCUCCAGAUCCAGGGUGUGAAGGAAAAGACAGCACAGAACAAAGCUACCAUGGGCCUCCUGCGCAGCAACCUCCGUCGAGGGGCCCACGAAUGGGCUUUGGCUAAGAAGCAUGAUCAAUGGACCACCUCCAAGGCCUGCGGGAAGGAUACGUCCAUGAGGCUGGCACACUGCCGCAGUACUAUGGAGGUAGCUCGGGAGAAGCUGCGCAAGUACGUCUUCGACCGCGUUAAUACACACAACGUACUGAUCCACCUGGUUCGGAGACGCGGACAGAAGCUGGAGGGCUUGGAACUGGAGCUGACCAGCUUGCGAAACCAGCCUGAAGCUACUAAGGAGGAACUGCGGCAGCUUCAGAUUAUCCGCCAACUGGAGAACAACAUUGAAAAGACCAUGAUCAAGAUCACCACCAGCCAGAACAUCCACGCGCUGUACAAACAGCUGCUGGAUUACCUGAAGAAGGUGCUGGCAGAGUACCCCACAGAGCUAGACAAGCUCCAGAACCUGGUGGCCAACUACCACUCAGAGCUAUCAGAUAUGACAGUCAUGUCCCAAGAUGCCAUGAUGAUUACUGAUGAGGUCAAGAGGAACAUGAGGCAAGGGGAGGCAACCUUUAUCGAGGAGCGAAGAGCACGGGAGAACCGACUGAACCAGCAAAAGAAGCUUAUUGACAAGAUCCACACCAAGGAGACAAGCGAGAAGUACCGCCGUGGCCGGAGGGACUUGGAUUUCCCCUCCAAUCUAAUGAGUAUGGAAAGCAUGAAGGUGAAGAAAAGAGAAUCUUCCGUAGCAGAUAUACAAUACCAGACAAAAGUGACUACUUUGGUAGAGAAGGUCAAAUCCGCUGUACAGUGCUCCCACCUCUGGGACAUAGCUGGCCGCUUCCUGGCGCAGAAGACUACAGAGGAGAACCUAGAGCUGCAGAUGGAGGAUUGUGAGGAGCGGCGGACACAGUUAGAGGCCCUGAUGAAGAAGCUAGAACUUGAGGAGGCUGUGCUCAAGUUCCACCAGACACCCAGCUCUGUUGGCUUUAGUUCUCUCCAGAAGAAGAUGAAGAACAUGCUAGAGGAGGAAGAAGCAAGGCUCCGUCAGGUCCAGAACAACAUGAACAAGAGCCAGCAGCUGCUGCUGGUCAUCCAGACAGAAAGAAAUCGCGGUAUCUGACACUCUUGAUGUGUAUGGCAAACUGGAUUAUUGUGAGGGCAAGCUCAUGUACCUGGCUGAGCGCACGCAAGCGCUGUCCAGAAAUGAGGAGGUUGACACAAAAGUGAGGGAUUCCUUGGAGUCAUCAACUCUAAAGGAGAAACAUAAUACCAGAAUUACCUUUGAGGACCAAGAGGAGGACAUGAUAG